AACGCACCUUGCGCUCCUUGGUAUUCCGAGGAGCAUGUCUGUUUGAGUGUUAUGAAAUCUUCAACCCACCUGUUUCUUGUUAGGCAGUCGUGGUGUUUGGAUCGUGGGCGUUUGUGCAGGCCUCUUUGAGUUACUCAAGAAGCCAGCUCGCCUGGAAUCAUGAGCAGCGUCGACCUUGACAUCUGGCUUGACUUGGCGUGAUAGGUUAUUAUCGCUGAGGACACCCUUUUAAAAAAGGGUUGGCCGAUUCGUUGGAGAAGGCUUACAAUUGCAAACCAUCCUUUGACCUCAAUCAGAUAGGACUACCCGCUGACUUAA
rnacentral:rRNA from 1 species